CUCAGAAAAGAUAACACUUUCACAGAAAAGAUAACACUUUCUCAGAAAAGAUAAGAAUACAGCGUGCUAAAGGUAAACACAAUCCUUUGUUGCCGUCGUCAUGCCCACUAAUAAUCAACAAAGAACUAAAAAUAGAAAACAAUUCAAUCUGCGAAUUUGGUGACUUGCUUAACGUUAGGAUCACUAGCUUUUACUGUUAGACAUCUUCAUGAAGAUUAUCGUGCAGACUUUUACGCAUAUGCUCUAUGUGAAUUAAGCCGUUCAUUGUUAUGUAAAACAAAAGUAAUAGUGCAAAAUGUCAGCUUGAUCUGAGAUUGGACGUUGAAGAAAUAACGUGAACAAACGUUUGGCCAGACAGACAGAGUGAUUCGACCCAAGCUUUGUAAAAAAAAAAAAAUACUUAAAUUUGUAUCAUAGAAACAGAGGUGCAGAUCUUAGAGAGGAAGUGGAGAUGGAUUGGUCAUACCCUUAGAAAAGAUAACAGCAACAGAGCUAUGCAGGCCUUAGAGUGGAACCCCCCAGGGAACAAGACGCAGAGGAAGACCAAAAAAGAACAUGGCGACGCAGUGUACUUGAAGAAGCAGAGAAGACCGGAAAGAGCUGGGACACCAUCAAAAAGCUAGCAAGAGACCGUGGAGAGUGGCGUGUUUUUGUCGAGGCCCUAUGUUCCAUGAGGAACUCAAAGGAGUGAUGAUGAUGAUGAUGUUACCUGUUGUCGUCAAUUUCGAUUUUUUAUUUUUGGACUAAAAAGGCGAUUUCGCUCUUUUUUUUUAUUAGUAAAAAGGUACAAUCGAAAUAGUUGCAUUUAAAGAAAACAAUGUUAUUAAACAAGGAAAUUAACACAACAACACUAAGGUUGUCAUAAGCAUUUUAUCGUUUUAAGUUGCACUAUACAUAUGACUACGUUAAGUACAAAUGAUUUUUUAA